ACCUCUGCCUAGCUUUGGGCUCCAUCUCUCCAGGAAUGAUGGCCCUUCACAUAGGAAAACAGUCUCAUAGCCUGUGUGUAACAAAAAAUUAGAUGGCAUUUGUGUCCUGAGCAAGUUUAUGUUCUGAUCAUACCAUUCUCAUGGAAAAUGGUGAUGGAAAAGCUGCUCCCAGAGUUCAUUAUUCUCAAGCCUUUUCCCUCUCACAGCUGCCCUGGAUAUWUCUGUGCUCUACAGUUGCUGCUGGGUGAGAGAACAGAUUAAAAUGAACAGCACAUUCCUCAGGAUUAUGUUCUCCUUGCUUCAAGGUAGUGCUUGAGUCUGGUGAAAAAAAACCAAACCUCGUGUGUUGGAAGGCCUCAUGAAGUGCUUCAAAAUGAGGAUGGAAGCAAACAGCAGAGCAGCAGAGAGAGAGGAGCUGCAGCAGAAGCAGUUUUGUAGGUUUUGAUGUGUUUACCUCUGCAGGUGAGGGGAGAAGGGGCCCUCUGGCAUUGUCCACUGCUCCCUUUUGCUGCCUCCCACCCAUCAUCUUCUCCCUAAGCCCCUGCAUUUCCUCCUUACCCCGUGUGUGCCUUGCCCAGUGGAGGCUGCUGAGAGGCUCAGUCAGGCUGCAGGGAGGUGUUUGCUCUCAGCAGAUCAUUCCAGGUGUCUCCAAGCAGUGGCAGYUCCCUGCACCUUCCUCUGGAGAUGGCUCAGCCCCUGCCCCUCGGGACUCCAGGACAAGGCAGCUCUCGCCAACUGUGGCUCAUCUUUUUGGCCAGCAUCCCUUUGUGCUUCCAGGAAAAUGAUGAGUUUAUGUCAGGUUCAGCAGUCCUGGUGUCUGCACAGUCGAGAGGAAUAGCACUUCACUGUGAGUGUGCCUGUACAGCUUUGACAGGCUCUCUGCUGCCAUGGGGAAGAGACAGCAGGGCUGCAAGCAAUGGACUCACAAAUGCUGACUAAGGUCACCAGYGUGCAGUGCCUCACAAUCUGUUUUUCUGGCAGCCCAACCAUACAGCAGGUUGUGCUUUUUUUAUCUUCCRUUCCUUUCCUUUAAAAACACUCUACAUGGGAAAAGUUAAUGCCUAAAGAUAUGCAGGAAGGUCUGUCCCUUUGACAGGAUCCAUGUGCUCCAGCACAGAAUUCUUCGCUCACUGUCAUCUCUCCCUCACUCUGCUGUGCUAGCCUAUUUUCACACUGGCAAAGAGAUACUCUUGAAACUUACAUUAUAAAAGAUAUUUGCCAGGUUAUCUUUCUGGUAGCUAUCCUUGUUUUCCGUUUUCUGAUCUCUUACUGCUGACCUGGAGAGGGGUGCUGGGCAAAGCCAGCAGAACAGGCUGUGCCAGGAUCUCACUGAGGCACCGAGAUGUGUCUGCCUGCCAUCAAGUAUCUAGUUCCUAAACUGAGGGACUUUUCCACCUUUUUUUUUUCCCCUUUCUAUUCUGUGCUAAAGAUAGUACUGGAACUGCCUCAGCACCUAUGAAUCAUAGAACCAGGGUAGCAUAGAAUGGUUUGGUUUGGAAGGAAUCUGAAAAAUCAUCCUUUUCCAAUCCCCUGCCAUGGGCAGGRCCACCUUCCUCUAGCCCAGGCUGCUCCAAGCCCCAUCCAGCCUGGCCUUGAAUGCUUCCUUGAGUACUUGGAAUUAGUAAAAAAAUGUAAUUUGUUAGAAGAAUCUGCCAUGAUAGGGCCUUUUAACUUUCAUUUUUCUGACUUGUUUUUAAAGUUUCUGACUUUCUUCCCCUUUGUUUCUCUUUGUCUUUUACCCUAAGAAUGUUGCAGCAAACAAGCAUACAGUCAUCAGGAAAGGAAGCUGUUUCAUUUCAAGAUGUGAAGGAUGUUUAACAUCAGAUUUGAAAUAAAAUUACCUAGCCCAGGAGAUUUUUGUACAUGGAUUAAUAUUUUUUGCCCACCUGUAAACUCCUCUGCUGUGCAGGUGAUGGAAGAGCAUCAGGAGCCCUCAAGCAUCAGUACCCAAGCACCAGGCAGCAUUUCCACUGUGCUGUGGAGGUUUGAGGCUCCUGGUUUGCAGUGGAAGAUGUGUGAGAUGUGGGCAGGCAUUUUCUUCAGCUGCCACAGGUAACUGAGCACCRGCACCUUUUGUCUGAUUGCUCCUGACCCACACGGUGAAAUGUUCAUUUUUGGAAAUGCCUCUCAGUAGGUUAUAAUGAGGGGAUGUUUCCAAGGUAUUCAAAGAGGAUUUUUGUGUUUCUUUAUUCUAAUAUUUAAAAAAAAAGAAGGAGCUGAAUUGACCACUUUUCUCUCAAUACAUCUGAGAGGAGACAGGCAGAGAUGUGACAUAUUCAACUCCCUCUCGCCCUCCCAUCCUGUGUUUUGCAAGGCUGGCAUUGUCUCCACUCUCCUGUGGGUAAAAUGGAUUGCAGGGUUGGAUCCAUCUGCCCUGCCCAUUGCUGCUGUCUCAGAUGAGACAGUACCAGGACAGAGAAGAACAUCUGCCUGUUAGACAGGGCUCUGGAAGUGGAAUUGCAAAGGAGAUUAAAUUAAAUUAUAGAACCUUGCAGUCCAUUGACUGCGCUAAACCGACUACACUUUAAUUUAGGGUUGUGAAACUCUAAUGGGGCUUGGAAAAGCUGCCAAAGGGGCUGGAAUUAGAUCUGUAUUGGAAUGGGGAGUUUCUGAUUCAAUAAGAAAUUAGAAGGAUCGAARAAAAUAAGAGUGUGUGGGAUCUUUAGGAGUCCUCUGGUUGAGCCCAUGCAAUGUGCUCAGGGGCAUUCACACACAAAAUUCGCAGGCCAGAGAGAGGAAGUGAUGUUGGGUUGAUCUGCUUCARGAAGAUUUGUGCCCUGUAAAAAUURACKUGCAGAUGGCAGUACACCUGGGCUUAGGUUUCAUUUCAAUUGGAAUUUUCUCACCUUUUAGGACAAGAAGGUGUAGGUAAUYUAACUCUUUUCAGCAAUUCUGAAAUUUAACUACAAAACUAUAAUGUUUUUUGCUACAAAACUGAAAUGGAAGGAAAAAUGCAGUUUGGAAAAGAAACAAUAAUGUUUGGUUUGUUCUAUAGUUUCCCAUUAAAAAAAAAAAAAAUCCCUCCCACAACUUGAAACGUGGAACCAAAUUUUGUCAACAGUUCACAACUGGAAGGGAUAACCAUAAGCUACAACUUAUGAAAGCUGUUUUCAAAAACUGUUUGAAGGAACCACUGAAUUGUUGCACCUUCUCAGCACUCUCUCAGUUGUGCUGUUGCUGCCAGAGCAGCUUGUGGCUGCUCCCAUUGCUCUACCUGUUGCACUGAUGGCCUGGUGGAGCUGCCAGCACCAGCUCUUGCAGGAUAUCUUACACUUWAAAAAAAUGUGCAAAUAUUUCUAGGAGCCUUUAAAAAUCUGCCUGACACCCAUCUGGCUGCCUUUAUUCAGAUACAGUGUGAAGUUUCCAGCAUAUCUAGUCCUUCUCUAGUUUAAUAGAUUGAGUUUGAAACCCCASUAACUCUCCAUCACUUCAUAGGAUCUCUCCAGCUAAAUAUGGCGGGCUGGUAACUUUGAAAUCCCUGUAAAUUCCUUAAUGUUUCAAGUUUCACUACUCCUUCCUGAUUAGACAUAUGACAAGCUCUGGCUUUUCCACUGUUUGGUUUUACUUUCCUUCAGCGAUUUUCCCCUUAAUCUUGCAGCUCACAUCCGCAAGGAAAAGCAAAAAAAAAACAAAAAAAAAAAAAACAAAACAACCCCACGCAUUCUCUGAACUUCUGCUAAAUAAAACCAGCUCGUAUAAACCCCCUUAGAGGUCCAAGAAAUCUUGUGAUAAAGCCGAGUUGUGCGGUGCAAACUCUUCAAUUUCGGCUGAGAAUG